rnacentral:ribozyme from 1 species
UUUGUUUUGUUUUUUUUUUUUUUUUUUUUUUUUUUGAUUGAAACUCGUCU